rnacentral:rRNA from 1 species
CUGCUGCCUUCCGUAGGAGUCUGGUCCGUGUCUCAGUACCAGUGUGGGGGACCUUCCUCUCAGAACCCCUACGCAUCGUCGGUUAGGUGGGCCGUUACCCCGCCUACUGCCUAAUGCGCCGCAUGCCCAUCCCUGUCCGGCCGAAGCCUUUCCUGCCUCCGGGAUGCCCCGGUGGCAUGUACGCGGGUUUAGCCCGCCUUUCGGCGGGUUGUCCCCCUGAAGAGGGCAGGUUGCAUACGUGUUACUCACCCGUGCGCCGGUCGCCGGCAAGGAAAG